rnacentral:lncRNA from 1 species
GAUAACCAUUGACUUGCAUAGUAUUUGUUUUUCCUACUAUGGAAGUUAUUGGCUACCGGUUUCUAGCAUUCUUCUAAAAUAUCUUCAUAAACGCUUGGAACCACUUGAGGGUGAGUAAAUGUUAAUUGUUUUUAUGUGAACCAUCUCUUUAUUUAUUGACCCUCGUGUUAUUACAAUCCCCAACUUCAGAACGCAGGAUAUUUCAGAUGAAACCCAAGAGCUCUCUAAGCCUCACGACAGCCCCCCAAGAUGUGUAAAGUACAGAAAGGAACCAAAAAUAUCCUCAAAAUUGUGACCUUCAGUGGUUCAACUGUAAUGAUAUAAAGCUACAAGAAUACUUCUGUGUGCAUAAAAACAAUAAAAUAAUAACUUCAUUCAACGGUUUCUUCUUAUUAACGUACAAAUCGAUACAUUUCUCACUUAUAUUUAAGCACAUUCUUUAAAGGAUAGUUCACCCAAAAGUGAAUACAGAGAGGGUAAUCUCACUAUUUACUCACCCUAAAUGUUUGGAAGCCACGUCUAUCAGCUGAUCUGUCUUUGAGCCAAUACGCUGACAGAUCAGCUGAUAAACGUGGCUUUCAAAUGCUCUAGUGUCUAUGUAUAUGUUUUACACUCGGUGAAAAGUGGUGAAUUGUCCCUUUAAACCACUGAUUGUUUUUUGUGUUCACAUUCUCAACAGAUAUGACUGUGAUUGGCUCUGAAGGUCAUCAUUUCACCACUUUUCAUCAAGCGCAAACAUAUACAUGGAUACUAGAGCGUUUGAAAGCCACGUUUAUCAGCUAAUCCAUCAGCAUAU